rfam:Cavia porcellus supercont2_14 genomic scaffold, whole genome shotgun sequence.
AUUCUUUGAUUCCUGAGUGUGAUGCAUGGGUAUUUAUGCCAUGGUGUAACACAUGCCUCCCUCAGGCCUUAUUAGGACGUCCGCAAGUUACCCACCUAGAAA